rnacentral:rRNA from 1 species
AUUGAACGCUGGCGGCAUGCCUUACACAUGCAAGUCGAACGGCAGCACGGACUUCGGUCUGGUGGCGAGUGGCGAACGGGUGAGUAAUAUAUCGGAACAUACCUUGUAGUGGGGGAUAACUAUCCGAAAGGAUAGCUAAUACCGCAUACGCUCUAAGAAGGAAAGCGGGGGACUGUAAGACCUCGUGCUAUAAGAGUGAGCGAAAUCUGAUUAGCUAGUUGGUGAGGUAAAGGCUCACGAAGGCGACGAUCCGUAGCUGGUCUGAGAGGACGACCAGCCACACUGGAACUGAGACACGGUCCAGACUACUACGGGAGGCAGCAGGGGGGAAUUUUGGACAAUGGGGGCAACCCUGAGCCAGCAAUGCCGCGUGAGUGAAGAAGGCCUUCGGGUUGUAAAGCUCUGUUGUCAGGGAAGAAACGGUUGUGGCUAAUAUCCAUGGCUAAUGACGGUACCUGAAGAAUAAGCACCGGCUAACUACGUGCCAGCAGCCGCAGUAACAC